CAGCCGCCGCGGUAAUACGGAGGGCGCGAGCGUUGUCCGGAUUCACUGGGCGUAAAGCGUGCGCAGGCGGCCCGUUAAGACAGGUGUGAAAUCCCUGGGCUCAACCUAGGAAUUGCGCUUGUGACUGGCGGGCUCGAGUACGGUAGAGGGGGGUGGAAUUCCUGGUGUAGCAGUGAAAUGCGCAGAGAUCAGGAGGAACACCGAUGGCGAAGGCAGCCCCCUGGGCCUGUACUGACGCUCAUGCACGAAAGCGUGGGGAGCAAACAGGAUUAGAUACCCUGGUAGUCCACGCCCUAAACGAUGGGUACUAGCCGUUUGGUGCGCGAUAGCGCUGAGUGGCGAAGCUAACGCGUGAAGUACCCCGCCUGGGGAGUACGGCCGCAAGGUUGAAACUUAAAGGAAUUGGCGGG
rnacentral:rRNA from 1 species